CGUCUGAAUAAUUUAACACUUUUACAAGUCUAUAUAAUAACCGUAGUUAAUUGAACAGUCUAUACAUCCACUAAUUUCUCCAGGGCAGAAAAGUUCAUUCACUGUCAUCAUUUGUACUGCGUAUUUCCAACGGAUAGAGCUUCACAAUCGGACGGUUGGUGAUUCCUGUGUCGGUCUUGAUAACAGCUGAUCGAAUGAGUCCAUCCUUUCCACGAACUAAAUCUUGUACAACUGCUAAUUUCCACAUUAUACGAUUUGUGUCAUUGUGUACUUGUACAAUGUCACCUAUUUGUAUUGUUUGUUCGUUUCUUCCAGAUGUACGGUGGAAUUCACGGAGUGACGUCAGAUAUUCGUGUUUCCAUCUUGAGCGAAAAUGGUUGAUUAGUUCAUUAUUUCUCUGUAAAUUUUUAUUCAGUUUCACGUGCAAAUCUUCGGAAGUAACACUGUCAAUAUUCUGUUCCGAUUGGUUGUCAAGUCGACGACCAUAUAAAAGGUGCGCUGGCGUCAGCGGUUCGGGAUCUUUAAUAUCAGUAGAAAUGUGAGUUAUAGGACGAUUGUUUAGAGUUCCCUCGAUUUCGAUUAUAAUUGUAUUCAACAUUUCCGUAGUGACACAUGACUUUCCUAGUAUUGCUUUAAUUGACUUUUUCGUGAGUCCAAUUAGGCGUUCCCAAAAGCCUCCAAACCACG
rnacentral:lncRNA from 1 species